rnacentral:rRNA from 1 species
CCUACGGGGGGCAGCAGUGGGGGAUAUUGCACAAUGGGGGAAACCCUGAUGCAGCGACGCCGCGUGGGUGAAGAAGUAUUUCGGUAUGUAAAGCCCUAUCAGCAGGGAAGAAAGAAGACGGUACCUGACUAAGAAGCCCCGGCUAACUACGUGCCAGCAGCCGCGGUAAUACGUAGGGGGCGAGCGUUAUCCGGAUUCACUGGGUGUAAAGGGAGCGUAGACGGCCGUGCAAGCCAGGGGUGAAAGCCCGGGGCCCAACCCCGGGACUGCACUUGGAACUGGGCGGGUGGAGUGCGGGAGGGGCAGGCGGAAUUCCUGGUGUAGCGGUGAAAUGCGUAGAUAUCAGGAGGAACACCGACGGCGAAGGCAGCCUGCUGGACCGCGACUGACGUUGAGGCUCGAAAGCGUGGGGAGCGAACAGGAUUAGAUACCCGAGUAGUC